GAACCUGUGGCCUAGAGGAGAAGGCGUCGGUCUCCUAAACCGAAGAUUUAAGGUUCGAGUCCAUGGUGGAUCG
rnacentral:tRNA from 1 species